UAAAAUGUAUUUAUAUUUUUGUAUUUUUUGUGAACAUCCUGUGAGCACUGUGUAUUUUUAAGUAUAGACUCAAGGUUAAAACUGCGCCUUAAAUCUAACAUUGAAAUCUAGAAAACAUGAUAUCAUCAGUUGUAACCAACCAAUCUUUGAGCAGCUCCGGAGUUCCAAACCAACUCUGUACCAACAAAAAGGUUCUAAAGGUUCAUCAACACCUGCAGUUGAGAAGCUCCCUAAAUCCUCCCACAGAAACUAACUACACAGUAAUAACGCUCCCAUAUAUUCCGUAACAAGUUUUUACCAAUAAACAUUUUCAAACCCCA